GUUGCAUAUUCUCUAAAACCAAUC
rnacentral:siRNA from 1 species